UCUACAGCAAAUAGGGUGGGAUUAAAUGAAUGGAUUCAAUAUUUCAUGCAAAUCUCUGGCAUCUUUACUUUUUCUUUGACUAAUUUGUUGUAAGUAUACUUAUCUUUCAUCUCUGUUAUCUUUUAUUCUGUAUUUGUGUGUUAGAUAGAUUGUGUGAAAUUUAAAUUAUGUUGAAAUUUGGUGAAAUAAUAAAUAAAAAAUGAUGUUUCCAAAUUUCAAUACUGCCAUCGUUCGUCAAUGGUAAAAUAGAAUAAUCAUGAAUUCAACGACACACGUGUAACAACACCCAAUGAAUUAGGGUUUCCAAGAUGAGAUCUCGACCGUUCAAGCACGGCAAUCAGAACCCUAAUCCGACUCGCCAUUCCUUGUCUAUAAAUAGGAGCGGGGGACUACCGCUCCUCCUCCUGCUUCCCUCUGCCGCCUGGAUACCGGCCGUUCUCCUUCCCAGUUGUCGAAGGCUGCCGCCGACAAGUAAUCCCUCCAUCACCUAUGCCUACCCUCUGCUGUUUAUCUUUGAAGCUGCGUUGAAUGUCUCUUGAAACAUGGAGGAAAAAGGCAGCUACAACCAGUGUGGAUAUUUAUGCUUCCUCGCUAUCUCUGGUGCACUCUGUUUCGUUAACCAUGGUUUGGACAACGAUGAUGAACCCUACAGACCUGUAAUGAUUAUUGCAGAUAUGAUUGCAUAAUCAAAGAACAUCUAAGGGACUGAGUUGUCAACCUCGCAAGCUGUUUUAAGACGCAGGAGGUUUUUUUUUAUCUCAUAUAGUUUUUUUUCCCCCUUGAAAUGUUUGAUAAAUUAAAUUUAUUUACAGUGAUGUCAAGUUCCAAAAUAAUGACUUUUCUUGUAUUCCAAAACAACGGACAGCGAUGAUGAGCCUACAGACCUGUAAUGAUCAUUGCUGAUAUGAUUGCAUAAUCAAAGAACAUCUAAGGGACUGAGUUGUCAACCUCACAGGCUGUUUUAAGAUGCAGGAGGCUUUUAUAUCUAAUCUAGGGCUUUUUUUCUUGAAAUGUUUGCAUAAUACAAUGAUGUCAGCUUCCAAAAUACUGACAUAUGUAUUUGAAAAUAAUGGACAAUGAUGUAAUGAUUAUUACAGAUAUUAUUGCAUAGUCAAAGAACAUCAAGGGACUGAGUUGUCAACGUACAGGCUGUUAAAAUGCAAUGAGUUUUCUUUAUAUCUCAUCUAUUGUUUUUUUGCUUCAUAUGGUUGUGUAAUGAAAUUGAUCUAUGAUAAUGCCAGGUUCCAAAAGAAUGGCUUUUCCUGUAUUUCAAAUUAAUAGACAACAAUGAUGAGCCUACGGACUUGUAAUGAUUAUUGAAGAUAUGCUUGCACAAUCAAAGAACAUCUAAUGGACUAUGUUGUCAACCUUGCAAGUUGUUUUAAGAUGUGGGAGGUCUUUAUGUUUCAUCUAGUGGUUUUUUGAAAUGUUUGUGUAAAUUAAAUUUAUCUAAAUGAUGUUAGAUUUUAAAAUAAAUAAUGGACAACGAUGAUGAGCCUACUAGACCUGUAAUGAUUAUUGCAGAUAUGAUUGCAUAAUCAAAGAACAUCUAAGGGACUGAGUUGUUAACCUUGCAAACUGUUUUAAGAUGCAUGAGGUUUUUAUUUCUUUCUCACCUAGUACUUUUUUUUCUCUUGAAAUGUUUGCACAAAUAAAUUUAUCUACACUGAUGUCAGGUUCUAAAACAAUCGAUUUUCCUGUAUUCUUUUAACAUUUUGCAUCGUUACUUGGUCACUGAGGAUUAUCUCUUUUUCAAAAGUAAUCUUUUUCUUGUUAUCAUGUCCAUCAGUUAUCUAUUGCAUGUCUCACAUAUGCUAUCCAAGGAUCCCAGCUUGCCUUCCCAUACAGUCUUGGCUGCUUGUUCAGGUGGUGGCUAAUGGGAUUGCAGAAACAAUACAUCGUUUUGACAAGCAGGAACAAGAAUUCUGUUCAUGAGGGCAGUGGUUGAUCUGUUCACCUAUAGCCACUUUUAAUUACUCUUGCAAAACCCUAGACAUUGGACAUUCUGAUUUAGUUUGUUUCAGGUUGUCCUGUGAGAUCAUGUCAUUAGAGUUGAAGUCAUUUCACAUAAUACAACAAGAAAACCACCAAUUUUAGAUGUCUGGGAGAACUUUCUGGUCUAAAGGAUGCUCAGCUUGUCCUCUCUUGCUUCUUGGAAACCAUACUCAAGAGAUCUACAGCAGCAUUUGUUCUUGAUGCUUCAAGGAUGCAAGAGCAUGAAGCAACUUACUCAGUUGCAUGCGAAAUUGGUGGUUAAUGGCUUUUCCUGCAAGAAUGUCCUCAUCACCAAGCUUCUCUCCUGCUGCAUUGUGUCAGGGAAUAUAACAUAUGCAUCUCUAGCUUUUGACCAGGUUGAGGAACCAAACACCACCCUCUGCAACCAAAUGAUCAGGGCAAUUUUUCAUGGAGAUAUGCCAGAGAGCUCCUUUACCAUCUACAAUUGGAUGAGAAGAAGAGGGAGGACAGAUACGCUGCAGCCCAAUGGUUUCACAUAUACCUUCCUCCUUGCUGCCUGUGCUAAGGCCGGGCCAAAUUUCUUGCCACAAGGGGAGCAAUUGCACUGUAGAAUCAUUUCUGGUGGCUUUGAUUCCAGUGUGUACAUUCAGACUAAUUUAAUAAAUAUGUAUGCUGCCUCUGCCACCAUGAGAGGUGAGUCUAUCGCUAAAGCUCAUAAGAUAUUCGAAGAGAUGCCCCGGAGAAACAUUGUGUCAUGGAACACCAUGUUGGCUGGAUAUUUGCAAUCUGGGGAUGUGCCAACGGCAUUUAGGUUCUUUGAUGACAUGCCUGCUAAGGACAAAGUGUCGUGGACCACCAUGAUUGCAGGUUGUGCGCAGGCCGGUAUGAGUGGUCAGGCACUCACUCUAUUUAGUCAGAUGAGGAUAUCUCGAGUAAAACCUGAUCAAGUUACAAUGAUCGCUGUCCUGUCAGCAUGUGCAUAUUUGGGAGACUUGGAAUUGGGACGUUGGAUCCAUGCACAUGUCUGCAAUUUCUGGCAUGGAAGAGAAUGUCUAGUGAAUCUGAGUAAUGCACUCAUCCACAUGUAUGUUAAAUGUGGAGCUAUUGAUGAUGCAUUUCAGGUCUUCACCGAGAUGCCUCGUAAAAGCACUGUCACGUGGACGACCAUGAUCGCAGGCCUUGCAACCCAUGGUUAUGGUGAUCAGGCACUAGAUCUAUUCCAAAGAAUGCAGUGCAAGGGAUCAGAAAAUGAGAAGCCAGAUUGGUUGACCUUUAUUGCAGUUCUAUGUGCCUGCAGUUACACGGGUAGGAUUGACAAGGGGCUUUGCUACUUUGAGCAGAUGAUUUCAAUGUAUGGAAUCAGACCAAAAAUACAACACUAUGGAUGCAUUGUUGACAUGCUCAGCCGUGCAGGUCACUUGAACAAAGCCCAAGAGCUGAUUAAAAUGAUGCCAGUGGAACCUAAUUCUGCUAUCUGGGGAGCCUUGCUUGGUGGCUGUUGGAUACAUAAGGAUGAUAAACUUGCAGGCCAGGUGAUCCACAGAAUUAUGGAACUCGAACCAGACCAGGUGGCUGGCCACCUUGUCUCUGUAUCCAAUUUGUAUGUUGCAUCUAUGAAGCGAGGUGAUAGUCAAAUGUUCAGAGAUAUGAUGUUGGAAUUGGGCAUUAGAAAGCCUGCUGCUUGCAGCUUAAUAUAUGCAAAUGGGUCUAAUUCAUGACUUCUUGGCUGAUAACUGGAGCUUCCAUCUUUGUUCAGCCACAUCAAGUAUUUCAUCGGAUGCCGCCAAUACCGGUGAUCGGGCAAGAGGCAGCUCAUGACUUUCUAAUGCACAAUGUCUGCUCCAUUUCUGGUUCUAGCGCACAAAAUUGGUAAUCUAAAUGAAGAGAUUGUCAAACUACAUAGAGCCAUGACGAGUUUUUGUUCCAAAGGUUGUCUGUACUAGAGAGGAUGGUGCUCUCAUCUUGUCUCAUAUUUUGUUCCUUUGAAGAUUGGUCCAUUCUAAUUCCAACGACAAUUUUAUUGGACACCUGUAUUUGGUUGUCUGGAUUACAGAGGUCGGAAGAUUGAUGCACCUUUGUACAAGAUGCUAUUUGGUUGUCUUGACGUUUAGAGGUGUAAUUUUUUCUUGGUAGUCAGGUCAUUGAGGAACAUAUGUCAAUUGCAAUUCUUGCUAGGUAGUUGCCUUUAUAAUCUUUGUGGAUUAUUUUUAUUGUUAUUGUUACUUUUAUGUUUAUUUGGGGUGUUGUUGUGUUUUCUCCAUUAACUUGAUGAGCCACUAUUGAACAGCAAUGAUGUCUACAUAAACAUACAAUUGGAUCUUUGGAGUGUUUUAUUAAGGUGGCGAUGUAGGCUGGCUGUCUAUUAUUUCAGCAAGCAUUUGUAUUUCAUCUAGAACUUAGCUGGCUUCUGUUUCUACCAUGACUUGUACUUUUGCCUUUGAAGUGUUCUGUAUAUGAUAUAGUGAAUGUAAUGACUUUUUGUUGCUUAGUCUGAUCAUUGAAGAUUUAUUUUCA